rnacentral:rRNA from 1 species
GACGGAGGAUCCAAGCGUUAUCCGGAUUUAUUGGGUUUAAAGGGUGCGUAGGCGGCCUGUUAAGUCAGGGGUGAAAGACGGUGGCUCAACCAUCGCAGUGCCCUUGAUACUGAUGGGCUUGAAUUAACUAGAGGUAGGCGGAAUGUGACAAGUAGCGGUGAAAUGCAUAGAUAUGUCACAGAACACCGAUUGCGAAGGCAGCUUACUAUGGUUUGAUUGACGCUGAGGCACGAAAGCGUGGGGAUCGAACAGG